AUUUAGUUAAAUUUAAAACUGGAUUUAACAACCGAAAAAAUUCUUCAAAAUUCUUUUAAUCCAGAAAAACGGAAUACCUUCACUCGAAUGAAAAUCCGACUCUAUCGAAGAUCUCCCAGCAAAGAUCAGACUUGAUGGAUCAAUCCCCCGAUAUUCAAUAAGAAAUCUGUUGGGACCUUCGACCUAGGACUGGACAGGAAUUUUGAUGGAUUUUUCGUUGGGUUUCGCUUUGCAUAAAUUAACAGCUGCCAGAGGAGAUGCGUGAGAUGCCAUGUUUGGGCGCUGACUGUGGGAGGAGGUCCAUGGAGACGAAGCUUAACUUUUGGGCAAUGCUCCUCCUCCACUCCAUUCCACUUUUGGGAUUAUAACUUUUUUCGUCUUCCCCUGUGCUACAAGUAUGGUUAUAUCAUCAGAGCCGAAAAGAACUUGUGGCAUAUUGCUCAUACGCCACGUGUGGAGCACGCUUUUCUUUAGGGAGCGAGAGAGAGAGAGAGAGUGUUUCAGUGGCAGCACGUGAAAACCCAGGCAAAUGUCCAACGAGUGAAAUGAAAAUGAAAAAAAAAACACACACACACAAGAAGCAGAAAAAAAAGGAAAAUCGAUUGGUUUUGACCUCAUAGACGCCUAACACAAUUCGGCGGCGCCGCCUGAGGAGUGCAUUGGCACUAAUGAAGCAGCGGCCCGCAAAAAAAAAGAGCGAGUGUG